UUGAGUGGCGAACGGGUGAGUAACACGUGGGCAACCUACCCAAAAGAGGGGGAUAACACUUGGAAACAGGUGCUAAUACCGCAUAACCAUAGUUACCGCAUGGUAACUAUGUAAAAGGUGGCUAUACUACCGCUUUUGGAUGGGCCCGCGGCGCAUUAGCUAGUUGGUAGGGUAAAGGCUUACCAAGGCAAUGAUGCGUAGCCGAAUUGAGAGGUUGAUCGGCCACAUUGGGACUGAGACACGGCCCAAACUCCUACGGAAGGCAGCAG
rnacentral:rRNA from 1 species